rnacentral:lncRNA from 1 species
UAUCUAAAACAAUGGUUAUUAAAAAUGAUCAUUUAUCAACUAAUUUGCGUACUAGUAUAUAUCAGGUAGAUAAUAGAAAAAUAAAAAAUCAACGAGGUAAAUAAUGAGAAGCAUCGUUUCGAAAAAACGGGGCAAAGUUUUUCUGCUUACGAAUGGUUAAAAAAAAAAAAUGAAAAAAAAGGAAGAAAAGAUAAGAGAUAAAAAGGAAGAUAAAAAAUUUACCGUAGAUAUCCGCCAGUUGGAAGUUGGAAUGGCGUAAAGAUGAAGCUUUCCGGAUGCGCGUUCAUCGGAAAAAGGAGAGAAAUCUCGAUUUAUACGUGGAACGAAUGUUCGUAAAAAGAAAUCGGAUAAAAAGUUAAAAGCUGUUCGAAACUGAUGACCAAGCGAGCGAAUAGAAAUAAAAAAACAAAA